UACGUAGGGUGCAAGCGUUAUCCGGAAUUAUUGAGCGUAAAGAGCUCGUAGGCGGUUUGUCGCGUCUGCUGUGAAAACUGGAGGCUCAACCUCCAGCCUGCAGUGGGUACGGGCAGACUAGAGUGCGGUAGGGGAGAUUGGAAUUCCUGGUGUAGCGGUGGAAUGCGCAGAUAUCAGGAGGAACACCGAUGGCGAAGGCAGAUCUCUGGGCCAUAACUGACGCUGAGGAGCGAAAGCAUGGGGAGCGAACAGG
rnacentral:rRNA from 1 species